AACAAAAAAAAGCCCUUAAUUCUUUUUCUUUUUCUCUGUUAGAGUUUCAAAACCCCAACCCUAGAAGCCGCCGCCAGUCCCUCGAUCACCGCCGCGAGUUUCAGCGAGCACGACGCCUCACUCCGACUCCGAUUCGGGUAGAUCGACGCAGGUGAGCACCCCUUUUCCUUUUGCUUUCGUUUAGUUUUAAAAUAAAGAACAAAAAUAAAAAAUAAGAAAAAUCCCCGAAAAUACCUUCAAAAAUUCUUUUUCCCUUUUGAUUUAGUAUUUUUUCC
rnacentral:lncRNA from 1 species